rnacentral:lncRNA from 1 species
AUGACGAACGCCUCGGGUGGCCCUGCCGCUGGCCCCGCCCCUGCGAGUGAUGGACGGGAGCGGCAGCCGAUCGAGGGCUUCGCUGCUGAGGCGGGCGCUGCGGCUGAGCCGGGCGGCACCCUAGAAGAUGGACAUUUGACAGGCCACAAUAGACUGCUCCUUUCCCAGCUACACUUUAGGAAUCAAGACCUUCAUCUUGGAAGACGCUGGCCAUUCUCUGGGAAAUUACUGAAGAGGCACAAGUGAACUGAAGCUUAGUGAAAGAAGUAUAUCUGCAGGUGCUGGGGCGUAUCACUGGCAAAUCUAACCAAUACAUUUUAAGAUGUAACUGCACACAUGUUGCUGUGCCUUCCCGUCAAAGGUUGCUGCUGCUGUAGUAAUGUCAGCAGCAGAAAAGAUCACAUACUUCACAGAGAGAGUGGUUGCACACUGGAACAGGCUCCCCAGGGAAGUGGUCACUGCACCGAGCCUGACUGAAUUUAAGAAGAGAUUGGACUGUGCACUUAGUCACAUGGUCUGAACUUGGGUAGACCUGUGCGGUGUCAAGAGUUGGACUUGAUGAUCCUUAAGGGUCCCUUCCAACUCAGGAUAUUCUAUGAUUCUAUGAUUCUAUACCUACAUUCGAAGAUCACUGUAUGAAAUCCUAUCUGUGUCCUUUCCUGUGGAGGUGAUAAGUCCAAACAGAGCAAUGGAGAUGAUGCCUCAGGAGGUGAGAUUGUCACAGACAUAACAUUUGGAACCUAUAGGUACCAUGAUAAUUUUAUUUAUUUAAAUGUAAAUGCAGUUAUUUUAAUAAGGACUAAAAUAGAUAAAAACUUAUCCUAAUCUCUGCAGAACACUUCCUCCCAGGUGCUUCUUUCAAAGUUUUUAUACAGUUAGUUUAAUGCAUUGUGGGUAGCCCACUGAUAUGGCUAGACCAGAUCCACCACUUACAACUCCACUCAAAUCAACAGGACUUCCAUGGCUUGCAGUAGAUUGUGACCUCUAAGAGUUAGGCCUAAAUUUGUGAGAGAGACCGU